rnacentral:tRNA from 1 species
GGGGAAGUGGCGGAAGUGGCAGACGCGCAUGACUUAGGAUCAUGUGGAGCGAUUCCGUGUGGGUUCGAGUCCCACCUUCCCCA